UGGUGGAGCAGGACCUGCAAUGAAAGGUGAAAAAAAGGAAAAACCUGAAACAAAAGAAUAAAGUAAUGACUUUUUGGGUAGGAUAGGAACAAGUCUGCAGACUGGUGUGUGCUGUGAGAAUGGAGAAGUCCACAGCAGCAUCCUGGAAAUGGUCCAGCGAAACGGAUGAGACACUCACUCACUCCACCUGCCCUUACUUUCUCAUCUGAGCCGGAUGUUGCUGUGGUCUCUUCAUCCUCAGUGACCCCAGAGCCAGCGAGAGGAUCUAGAGAAAGACCAAAAGACACUGAGGAUUUGAUUUUGGGGCCUACAAACCCUGGAUCAACCUGGAGAAAAGAGCAGUGCUCAAGGACAUACUGGUGGUUUUGAACCAGUAACCUUCUGCUCACCAGUUCAGUGGUUUAGCCCACUACAAAAGUAAUAAAUC